rnacentral:rRNA from 1 species
GACGAACGCUGGCGGCGUGCUUAACACAUGCAAGUCGAACGAAGUGGCGAACGGGUGAGUAACGCGUAAUUAACCUGCCCUUCAGAGGGGGACAACAGUUGGAAACGACUGCUAAUACCGCAUACUGAAGGAGGGGAUUGCGUCUGAUUAGCUAGUUGGUGGGGUAACGGCCCACCAAGGCUAUGACGCGUAACUGGGCUGAGGUGAGGAUCAGUCACAUGGGAACUGAGACACGGUCCAAACGCCUGCGGGAGGCAGCAGUAGAGAAUAUUGCGCAAUGGAGGAAACCCUGACGCAGCAACGCCGCGUGGAGGAUGACAAUUUGCGGAGCGUAGACUCCUUUUGUUAGGGAAGCGGAACCUAACGAAUAAGCACCGGCUAACUCCGUGCCAGCAGCCGCGGUAAUAC